CCUACGGGUGGCAGCAGUGGGGAAUAUUGCACAAUGGGGGAAACACUGAUGCAGCGACGCCGCGUGAGUGAAGAAGUAUCUCGGUAUGUAAAGCUCUCUCAGCAGGGGAGAAAAUGACGGUACCUGACUAAGAAGCCCCGGCUAACUAGGUGCCAGCUGCCGCGGUAAUACGUAGGGGGAAAGCGUUAUACGGAUUUACGGGGUGUAAAGGGGGCGUAGACGGCGCUGAAAGGCCGUAGUGAAAGCCCAUGGCUUAACCAUGGUACUGCUCGUGAAACUGUGGGGCUUGAGUGCGGGAGGGGCAGGCGGAAUUCCUAGUGUAGCGGUGAAAUGCGUAGAUAUUAGGAGGAACACCGGCGGCGAAGGCGGCCUGCUGGACCGUAACUGACGUUGAGGCUCGAAAGCGUGGGGAGCAAACAGGAUUAGAUACCCGGGUAGUC
rnacentral:rRNA from 1 species